rnacentral:rRNA from 1 species
GAGUUUGAUCGUGGCUCAGGACGAACGCUGGCGGCAGGCCUCAAACAUGCAAGUCUAGGGGGUGUAGCAAUACAUCACCGGCGGACGGGUGCGUAACGCGUGGGAAUAUACCUAUUGGUUCGGAACAACUGCGGGAAACUGCAGCUAAUACCGAAUGUGCCCUAACGGGGAAGAUUUAUCGCCAAUGGAUUAGCCCGCGUAGGAUUAGCUAGUUGGUGGGGUAAUGGCUCACCAAGGCUCCGAUCCUUAGCUGUUCUGAGAGGAAGAUCAGCCACACUGGGACUGAGACACGGCCCAGACUCCUACGGGAGGCAGCAGUUGGGAAUCUUGGACAAUGGGGGAAACCCUGAUCCAGCCAUGCCGCGUGAGUGAUGAAGGCCUUCGGGUUGUAAAACUCUUUCGUACGGGACGGAUAAUGACGGUACCCGUACGAAGAAGACUCCGGCUAACUUCGUGCCAGCAGCCGCCGCAGU